rnacentral:rRNA from 1 species
GAUGAACGCUGGCGGCGUGCCUAAUACAUGCAAGUCGAGCGAACGGACGAGAAUCUUGCUUUUCUGAUGUUAGCGGCGGACGGGUGAGUAACACGUGGAUAACCUACCUAUAAGACUGGGAUAACUUCGGGAAACCGGAGCUAAUACCGGAUAAUAUUUUGAACCGCAUGGUUCAAAAGUUUAAGACGGUCUUGCUGUCACUUAUAGCUGGAUCCGCGCUGCAUUAGCUAGUUGGUAAGGUAACGGCUUACCAAGGCAACGAUGCAUAGCCGACCUGAGAGGGUGAUCGGCCACACUGGAACUGAGACACGGUCCAGACUCCUACGGGAGGCAGCAGUAGGGAAUCUUGCGCAAUGGGCGAAAGCCUGACGGAGCAACGCCGCGUGAGUGAUGAAGGUCUUCGGAUCGUAAAACUCUGUUAUUAGGGAAGACCAUAUGUGUAAGUAACUGUGCACAUCUUGACGGUACCUAAUCAGAAAGCCACGGCUAACUACGUG